rnacentral:rRNA from 1 species
GUGGGGAAUUUUGGACAAUGGGCGAAAGCCUGAUCCAGCCAUGCCGCGUGCAGGAUGAAGGCCUUCGGGUUGUAAACUGCUUUUGUACGGAACGAAAAGACUCCUUCUAAUAAAGGGGGUCCAUGACGGUACCGUAAGAAUAAGCACCGGCUAACUACGUGCCAGCAGCCGCGGUAAUACGUAGGGUGCAAGCGUUAAUCGGAAUUACUGGGCGUAAAGAGUGCGCAGGCGGUUAUAUAAGACAGAUGUGAAAUCCCCGGGCUCAACCUGGGAACUGCAUUUGUGACUGUAUAGCUAGAGUACGGUAGAGGGGGAUGGAAUUCCGCGUGUAGCAGUGAAAUGCGUAGAUAUGCGGAGGAACACCGAUGGCGAAGGCAAUCCCCUGGACCUGUACUGACGCUCAUGCACGAAAGCGUGGGGAGCAAACAGGAUUAGAAACCCCGGUAGUCC